AAUUAGAAAGCGAAAAUUAUUGCAUUUAGUUUCGACCUAAACAUUGGCCUUUAAGCCUCUAAUUA
rnacentral:tRNA from 1 species